ensembl:lncRNA
CCUCAACCGAGUUUUGGCUUUUGAGUGGCUCAGAAACACUGCAUUUCUGAGGAAUUCCCAGAUGAAGUUAAGCCUAGGCUGCUGGUCUGGAGGUCGCACGCGGAGGACCCCCAAGGAGAUGUGUAAGGACGAUCGAUGAAGAGUGCUCAGCUCUCUGCAGCACAGCAAGGACUUCCAAGGAAAGAGCGGCAUGAUCCAGGCACAGGACCCAGCCCGGGACCCAGCAAUGUGACCACACUGGGGGCUCUAACAACACACACCUUAAUGGUUCGGUCUGAAGUCAGAUUUGUAGAAGCCGCAUUUUUGGGAUCACCUAUUUGAGCAUCUUAUUUUGCAGAUGCAACUCCUGAACCCCAAAGGUCACAUGACCUGAGCGAAGCAACCACAGGCAGAGCUUCACCUAGAAUCUAGGCUUCCUGCUUGCUCGGCGGCUAACACGCCUUCCCCAGCAAGGCAGGCUGCCUGAGCUGCCGACACAUUUCAAUUAUCUAUAUCAUUUUUCAUUUUCCCUUCUUAUGAACAGAAAGCUCCUAAAAUACAGUUUGAUAAUUGCAACUAUUACUAUGCAUGCAUUUUAAUGUACACAAAAGAUACAAGUGAGGUUUUUUUUUUUUAAAGUGGCACCUUUCUAUUUAUAUUCCCUUUCCAUCUAUUCAUAGCCUGAAGAUUGCCUUUAAUCUUUUAAGAUUCUGAUCUUAAAAGAGUAACUAGCACUCUAAAAUGACUAUUAUUCUUAGGGGAUAAAGACACUUUAUUUUGCAAUCUUUUUGUCUUGUAUCCCACAAAACCUCUUGCAUCUCACUGAAUCAGGCUUUAACUGUAGGUGGAUUCUUUUCAAUCCACUGUUUAGUUAUGCAAAAUUUCUGCAGCAAUUAGAAGCAAGGCAAAAAGUUCCUUCCCUUACUUGAUAAGACAGUGUUUCCAAAUGGAGAGUGAAAGAAUGAAGCACUGAAGGCCCCAACUGAACCGGGCCGUAACCAUGAUAUAUGAGAAAAUUAACUUUUCCCCCAUAAAGUUUCUCCCACAAUGCACUGAAAUAUUAAAACUUCACAUGAGAUGGUCUCUCUUGUGCAGAACACCAUGGGGCUGACGACUUCAAUUGAUUCUUAACGAAGAAAAUUAAUUUAAUUAGGAGUUACGGCAUGACAUUUCAUUUUCUAAUGGGCCUGCAGCCCAAGUGGCUGUGUGAAGCCAUUCUGAGUUCACAGGAACUGUGGGUCUGACUGGUCUUCACCAGCUUGUCACUCCUGAGAAGUGCGCCCUUCCUUCCUGAGAGGGUCAGGAAAACUGACAGUCUUCCCAAGCUGGCCACAUCCCACCCCCUGUCUGUAAAACUUUAAAACCCAACCCUCCUUUAUGUAACUGGAACUUUUCACUGAAAACUUUUGCAGUAGAAAGUCGAGCACAUAAUACCUCUUAAAAAAAAGGCAGCCCACCAUCUUACCUGAUGAAAAUUAAAAUACCCAUUAGAAGUAAUUCACUUAACAUCAGUUAAUUUUUCUGAGUCAUUCCUGCUAACUUCUUACUAAUGAUCUGUCUUAGCUGAAAUCCGGUGUUAUCUAACUCCUCUUUAAUCUCCAUUAUGCAUUUCAAGGAAAGCAUUCAGUAACAGGUGAAUGGCAAAUAGGCAAAAACAAUGCAAAACAAAACAAUACAAAACCAAAAACUUGCCAGUCAACUUCUAAAAGGAAACUGUCUCCCUUCCCCAAUAAGUUUUCAAUCAGAAAGAAGCAGGGAGUUAAUUAAUGUGCAACCGGCGUGAGGAAGCAAGACACCCACGCAUCCAGCAAGUUGCAAGCUAAUAAUUAAAAGCCUGCCACAUAUGGGCAAAGAGGUCAACCUCUCCAGCAGUCAAGAAAUGGUGAUUCUCGGACCGCAGAUCAAUCACCAUUCACAUCAAAGAAGAAAGAGGUGAACCCAGUGGUCAACUGCAGCUGGAAGGCCUAGUCCCUCUUUAGAUCACAGUCCUGCCCCUCCCGGCAUCCCAUGCUGUGAAAUUCGGCAAAUCUUCUUAUCCCAGUGAACUCUCCCAGGAAGUGACUCCGACAGUACUGGACUACAGAAACAUGACAACGCACUACACUGUGGCCAGCGACGGAAAUGCAAUGAAUUGAGAAUUUAACUCUUCAGGGAAAUUCUUUUUUUGGUUCCUCUUAUAAAGCCGUAAUUUAAGGCUGAAAUUUAAACAAACUCCUCUGAUUUGCCAAUUUAUUAAAUUUUGUCAUCAUGACUUAUUACCUUUAAACUCUGACCAUCUUUCCCCUUCCAUAAAGUAAAAUAAAGAAUCCAAGAAAAAUGAACGGCAGCUGUGUUAAGUACCGUGGAUGGGAGACAGUGGCAUCUAUCAACGUGUCAAGGGAUCUCAGGGCACAGGCGAGAGAGAGACUCUGAGUACACAGUGAACCACAGCCGGCCGUUCCUGUGGCCAAGACCCAGGCUCUGAAGGGAGAAAAGUUACAACUGCCCUGAGGCCGCAUGGUGCCUCCUGAGCCCACAAAUGGGCUCCACGCCACUCCCAGGGAGCUCUGCUGUCUAGGGUUGAGUCUCUCCAUCUUCCAAAGGGCACUUUCUCCUCGUCCUGUGGAACAAGUGUGUUCCCAUCUCCCAGACUAUAAUGGACACUCCCAGAGGGCACAGACGCUGUCCAGGGGGAGGCACAAUUUCUGCACACGAGACUGGUCACCUAAAUUGCUUUCAAACCCACCCAGAGACUUGCUGAGAUGGAGUAACAGAAGCUUAAUGACUUGCUCAAGUCCUCAGAACUCUUAGGAGUGAGAUUAUGGCUCUUUGCAGGUCAGAGCUGCCAACGGUGGUAGGCAGAGAAAGCCUGCUGAGGGUGGAGCCAAUUCAGAGAGUGCAGAUGGAAGAGAAGAGAGACAGUCCCCUGAGCCUGCAAGAAAGACAUGGUCCAGCAGCGCCUGAAGCCAGCACCACCUCUCAAUUCCCAGCCCCAGAAGCGGAUCAAUUUCCUUUGGGCUCGAGAACCUGAACCUUGUGUGACUCAGAAAGGCCUGAUUUAAUCCACACACUGGGGCUGGGGCAUGGCAAAGUGUGCUUUCUCUCGACAUGCACAAUAUGCUGGGGUUCCAUAUGUGGCCCCCAAACAAACAAAUCCUUCAUCCUCCUGUUGUGUGUGUAGCCCAGAUUUGGCUUCCCCCCUAGCAGGGAGGGAAAGUCAGUGUCCUUUGCAUGACCAGCAAGGGCCCCCUGGUCUGGAAUCUCUCCUGCUCAGCCCCAGGGUCCUCCUGGGUGUCCCCUGACACGGCAGGCACACUCUAUGCACACUCAGACACGUGCUGCCCCCUGCUUGGGACGCUGCCCUGCACCAGCACACCGGGCUUCCUCUAGGUCCAAAUGCAGUGCAGCCAGCUCUGCUCACCCACAGUCUCCGUCCCACAGCCUGCACUCGCCUGCUGUCUGCUUCCGCCCCUCAGCCUCGCCAGUUUCCACGGGCGGAGCUCCGAUCGCCACUGUGCAUGUGCCGCAGGCACUCACGGAAGGGCCUCGGAGUGCGACACCAGACUCGGGCCCAGGUGGGGGAGCUGGUCACCUCAUCUCGACUGCAAGGCUUGCAGGUGGUGGCAGUCUAACCAUCUGAGAUGAGGCAGAGCCCCCGCUGCAGGUGCCCCUUGAGGCCCACACUGCAUGAGCACAGUCCACUCUGAAUCAGGAGAGCACCUCACUCGGUCAGAAGCACCCCAAGAGCUAGUGGCUCUGUUCUGCCACCGUUCAUCCGUCCUCCACCAGCACAGCAGGUCCCAAGCCGGCUCUUCCUCCAUCAGCAGAGGCAACAAAGCCACAUCCCACCAGCGACACUGCCACCUGGAAGCAAUGUGCACCCAGGGCAAAACCUGACCCGACAGGCCUUCCCGGAAAAGGGAGCUUUCAGGGUGCUGGGAGAGAAGCGGCCACAAGAGGCCUCUUUACAUAUCUGGCAAGAAGCAGAGCUCACUGUGCACACGGGGCAGGGAAGUAUGGACAGACAUUAGCAAUCAGGGACUUGCUCACUUGCGGGUGUCUCUUACGGAGAUCCAUCCCCAUCUGAAGUCCCAAGAUCACCAUUUCCGGGUCUGUCUGGCGGCCCUUUUGUCCAGACUGGCUUCUCCUGGCUGCAGGGCAAUCUAGUUAACUUGGCCACUUAAGUAAGUAACGAUUCACAUCUUGAAUUCUACUUUACCAAAUACUCAGCACAUUUCUUCUAGACCCAGUUCCAGGGUUUGGGGACCCAGUAGUGCACAUGAGAGGCCAGGCCUCUGUCCAGGACAGACGCAACGUCUGUGUGCUGAGCAGACUUUCCCACGGAUGAAUACACACUUUAAUAGGACACACCGGAGAUGAUGUGAUGAAGGCUGCACUUCAACCUACACAAGACGUUCUGAAGGAAAAUAAGCAACAGACACAUAUCUGUAGUUUUCUACCUUGCGCAGGUGGGUGGGCGGAUUCAAUGAAGUGCUUCAAAUAAGAACCGGAAGGAAGUGAAAAGUUUCAAGGCAAUCAGUAUGGGAGAAGCCGGGGGCAAGAAAUCCUAUGGAAAUCAUCUCUGUCACUCAGGAAAGUUCAUACCUGGUCACCAUGACAUACUCACCCAGGCCCACCACAGGCUGGAGGGGCCAGCUGUAGUCACAGCUCGCCCACGGGGACUGGCUGGGGAAGCUAAACACAGGGCUGGGACCACACUACCUGGCGCAGUGAUGGAGGUGGCGUGGCUCUGCCUCACCCUGACACUGAUCCUUCCCUUCUAAGAAGGGUUUCCUCCACAGCACAGUCGCUGUAUCUGCUGGGUAGUGAGCACAUUCACGAUGGUGUUCCACACACAAGAGCCACAAGCCACUCCCUGUCCUCUGGGUGACCUUUCCUGUCCUAACCAGAAGACAAUGUCCUCAUGAGGGCACUGUCCUGGGGUUCAGGAGCCAGCUCAUCAAAAGCUCAGUGGUGCAUCUUUGCGCAUCACUUUCCUCUGGCAUCUUCAUGUGCUCCAGGGUAAACCUUCACGGAUGAGAUCAGGGCUCCACAAACUUGCAGUAAAGGUCAGAUGGUAAACACUUUAGGCUUUGUGGGUGUUCAAUUCUGCCCUCCAAUAUAUAAAUGGACAGGGCAAGUGGUCCCCAUAAAACUGCACUUACAAAAGCAGGCCACAGGCAGGAUUUGGCCACAGAGCCCUGGUUUGCAGGCUGCUGGGAUGGCUGACCUCCAGGCACCUUCUGGUUAGGGGCUUCAUCACCCAAGAUUCACCUUCCCUCUGGCACUACUGAAGGUAUUGAAGGCUACAGAGCUCUGGGCCGAGAUGAAAAGCUCAGGAAGUAAUGGUAACAUUGCCAUUUAUGAAGUGACUUCCACGUGACCAGCACUGUGCUGAUGGCUUUGUCUGCCUUGUCUCACUGCAUUCUCAGAGCAACCUCUCGAGGGAGACACUGUAACAAAUCCCUGGGACGGGUAGAGAAACUGAGACCCUUGCUCAAGGUUAUGCAGCAGUAAGUGGCACGGCUGGGGGCUGAACUGCUGAAUGACCCCAAGCCCUUGAUCAUGGGGCCAGCACUGAGCUCUAGGACUCCCAGCGUGCUGGCCACCCGCCCUGUUACUCCCCAUGAACCCCCCAGAAGUUCACGUGAGAAACCUUGUGUGUGCCACGUAAAUUGAAAGGUUGGCCUACAAUAACAUGAGGGCCCACUACUCUGGCUGACGGAUUGCUUUCUAAUGCACAGUGGCUGAUUCCCUGCACAGCUCGAGCCCUGGCGGGCCGGAGCACCUGCGGCAUGCCUUAUUUGGAGGUGAC